rnacentral:rRNA from 1 species
GACGAACGCUGGCGGCGCGCUUAACACAUGCAAGUCGAGCGAUGAAAUCUUAACAGAACCCUUCGGGGUGAAGAUAAGACGGAUUAGCGGCGGACGGGUGAGUAACACGUGAGUAACCUGCCUUUACACAGGGAUAGCCUCAGGAAACCGGGAUUAAAACCUGAUGAAACUAUCAAAUCACAUGAUUAAGAAAGUUAAAACUCCGGUGGUAAAAGAUGGACUCGCGUCCCAUUAGCUAGUUGGUGAAGGUAACGGCCCACCAAGGCAACGAUGGGUAGCCGGCCUGAGAGGGUGAACGGCCACAUUGGAACUGAGAAACGGUCCAAACUCCUACGGGAGGCAGCAGUGGGGAAUAUUGCACAAUGGGGGAAACCCUGAUGCAGCGACGCCGCGUGAGCGAAGAAGGCCUUCGGGUCAUAAAGCUCUUUUAUAUGGGAAGAUAAUGACGGUACCAUAAGAAAAAGCCCCGGCUAACUACGUG